rnacentral:misc_RNA from 1 species
UCCGGCUUUCACCGGCUGUCUCUCUAGAGUGCCCAGCAUGACCUGCUGGCAACUAAAGAUAAGGGUUGCGCUCGUUGCGGGACUGAACCCAACAUCUCACGACACGAGCUGACGACAACCAUGCACCACCUGUCACCUCUGUCCCCGAAGGGAAAGGUAUAUCUCUACACCGAUCAGAGGGAUGUCAAGCCCUGGUAAGGUUCUUCGCGUUGCAUCGAAUUAAACCACAUGCUCCACCGCUUGUGCGGGCCCCCGUCAAUUCCUUUGAGUUUCAACCUUGCGGUCGUACUCCCCAGGCGGAGUGCUUAUUGGGUUUCCUUCGGCACUGGGGGCGUAACGCCCCCAACACCUAGCACUCAUCGUUUACGGCGUGGACUAC